UACGAAGGGGGCUAGCGUUGUUCGGAAUUACUGGGCGUAAAGGGCGCGUAGGCGGCUUGGCAAGUUGGGUGUGAAAGCCCAGGGCUCAACCCUGGAAUUGCACUCAAGACUGCUUUGCUUGAAUUCGGUAGAGGUUGGUGGAAUUCCCAGUGUAGAGGUGAAAUUCGUAGAGAUUGGGAAGAACACCCGUGGCGAAGGCGGCCAACUGGACCAGCACUGACACUGAGGCACGAAAGCGUGGGGAGCAAACAGG
rnacentral:rRNA from 1 species